rnacentral:rRNA from 1 species
GACGAACGCUGGCGGCGCGCCUAACACAUGCAAGUCGAACGAGCGAGAGAGAGCUUGCUUUCUCAAGCGAGUGGCGAACGGGUGAGUAACGCGUGAGGAACCUGCCUCAAAGAGGGGGACAACAGUUGGAAACGACUGCUAAUACCGCAUAAGCCCACGACCCGGCAUCGGGUAGAGGGAAAAGGAGCAAUCCGCUUUGAGAUGGCCUCGCGUCCGAUUAGCUAGUUGGUGAGGUAAUGGCCCACCAAGGCGACGAUCGGUAGCCGGACUGAGAGGUUGAACGGCCACAUUGGGACUGAGACACGGCCCAGACUCCUACGGGAGACAGCAGUUAGGAAUAUUCGUCAAUGGGGGAAACCCUGAACGAGCAAUGCCGCGUGAAGGAUGACGGUCCUUUGGAUUGUAAACUUCUGUUGUUAGGGAAGAACAAGCUGUAUAGGAAAUGAUACAGUUCUGACGGUGCCUUUCAAGAAAGCUCCGGCUAACUACGUGCCAGCAGCCG